rnacentral:rRNA from 1 species
UACGGAGGGUGCAAGCGUUAUCCGGAUUCACUGGGUUUAAAGGGUGCGUAGGUGAGCAGGUAAGUCAGUGGUGAAAUCUCCGGGCUUAACUCGGAAACUGCCAUUGAUACUAUCUGUCUUGAAUACCGUGGAGGUUAGCGGAAUAUGUCAUGUAGCGGUGAAAUGCUUAGAUAUGACAUAGAACACCAAUUGCGAAGGCAGCUGGCUACACGAAUAUUGACACUGAUGCACGAAAGCGUGGGGAUCAAACAGG